UUCCGGUUGAUCCUGCCGGACUUACUGCUAUCGGGGUGGGACUAGACAUGCGAGUCGAGCGUCUCUAGCUAUGUUGAGACGCGGCAGACGGCUCAGUAACGCGUGGCUAACCUACCUUCAGGACGAGGAUAAACCCGGGAAACUGGGGCUAAUACUCGAUAGGUGAGGAUGUCUGGAAUGACUUCUCAUCCAAAGGACAUUGGAAACAUGCUUUCAAUGUCGCCUGGGGAUGGGGCCGCGUCCGAUCAGGUUGUUGGUGAGGUAACGGCUCACCAAGCCUAUAACCGGUACGGGCCGCGAGAGCGGUAGCCCGGAGAUGGGUACUGAGACAAGGACCCAGGCCCCACGGGGCGCAGCAGUCGCGAAAACUCCGCAAUGCACGAAAGUGUGACGGGGCUACCCCGAGUGCCAUCCGCUGAGGGUGGCUUUUCUUUGGUAUAACUAGCCAUUGGAAUAAGGAGAGGGCAAGACUGGUGUCAGCCGCCGCGGUAAUACCAGCUCUCCGAGUGGUAGGGAUGAUUAUUGGGCUUAAAGCGUCCGUAGCCGGCUUAGCAAGUCUCCUGUUAAAUUCAGCGACCUAAUCGUUGACCCGCGGGAGAUACUACUAGGCUAGGAGGCGGGAGAGGUCGACGGUACUUCUGGGGUAGGGGUGAAAUCCUAUAAUCCCAGGAGGACCACCAGUGGCGAAGGCUGUCGACUAGAACGCGCUCGACGGUGAGGGACGAAAGCUGGGGGAGCGAACCGGAUUAGAUACCCGGGUAGUCCCAGCCGUAAACGAUGCGAGCUAGGUGUUGGGAUGGCUACGUGCCAUCUCAGUGCCGCAGGGAAGCCAUUAAGCUCGCCGCCUGGGGAGUACGGCCGCAAGGCUGAAACUUAAAGGAAUUGGCGGGGGAGCACCACAAGGCGUGAAGCUUGCGGUUCAAUUGGAGUCAACGCCGGA
rnacentral:rRNA from 1 species